ACGCACUAUAUACUUAUAAGUGCAAUCUCACCUUUGAACCCUUAACCAUCUUCCCAAAAUAAAAGACAUGAAAAUCCUCAUUUGUUUUUCCAUUCUUUUGCUUGUUUUUUCUAUGAACGUUGGAAAUCAAAUGACGAUGCCCGAGGCAAAACAGUGUGAACUCUAUGCACCUCACUUCUGUCGUAAAUGGUUGGUUUUGAUUUGCAACACAUUUUGCAAGUUUAAAUGCAAAAGUAUACAUGCAAAAGGAAAAUGUUUUGAUGACGAAUCAUGUCAUUGCUAUUGUUGUUAAACUAUUGUUAUUUUAUAUAUACUCACGUUUGAAGGUUCCAUCUUUCAAAUGUGUAAUAUGGUGAACUAAUAAAUAAAGUGGUUGGUUGUAUAUUUUUCUCUGUUUUAGUAUUUAUAUGGUUUUAUGCUCGUGUUGAAUCUUGCUAGCCAAAAAGACUUUUUCUGCAAAUCAAAUUGUAUCUUCUUCACUCAACAAUAUCAAUCGAUGGAGCACCUUUCUAUUGUUU